GGCAACUGAAGCUCGGUAUGUAUUUUCACUGCUGUUUCUGUACAUUUUCCUAUCGCCAUUAAUAUUUCCACCGAUUGCCCUGAUUUAUUAAUCAAAAUAUAUAUUUACUGUAUGGCUGUCAGAUAACUUUCUUCUACUGUAUGUAAUCAGGCAAACACAGUCAAGGGGUUACAUCAAUACUAAUGGGCUUUUUGAGCAGAAAACAAAAUACGUGGGACACUUGAUACAUUAAGUUCUGUUACCAGAGCCAGAUAUAUAAAAAGCAAUACAGGUAACAACUGCAUCGUUUAUGCAAAUAUGCAAAAUCCUUUCUUCGCAACAGUGUUUGCAAUUCUAAACUGAGUGUAUUCUGUUAGACAUGAAGGCCCAUAUUGUUAUACUGUCCAUAGCCCUAUGGAGCCCUAACAUGUAAAACUUGCAGUAAACCUGCUCUGACGUCUCUUCCUAUAUAUAAGUAUUAAAAGAUAUAUGUAUUUGUAGAGCAAAGGCGUCGAAAUAUUGCUGAAUUUUCAAGUAUUUUUAGGUAUAUGUUUCUAACACAGGUAUCCUUACCAGUAUUGUUUAAUGUAUUGAUACCUAAUUCAGUGCCAUUUCCUCUUCCAUGCUGAAGUCUUGGUAUUUCAAUAUUGAUCUCACAGAAGUAAAUUCCUUCAUCUCUCACUGUGACAGAGUUAAUCCGUAGCUCUGCUUUACCGUUAGAUACAUAAUAAGUACUCCCAUUGUGAUUCCUUUGUGUAAUGUUGCAUGUAUCAUUUCCUUUCCAUAGAACAGAUGCCAAAAGAGUUUUAUUUUCCACUUCUAUUGAUGAUUUGUUAGAUAUUCUCCAUUCCACUCUGAUCUGCUUCGCUCUAUGGUCGGGAUCCCAGGUACAAUUUAUAACAGCGCUCUCUCCUUCCAGUAACACUAAACGCUUUGGAGACUGAGUUACAUUUAGAGCAUCACAAGAAAAUACU